GGGCUGGUAGCUCAGUUGGUUAGAGCACCACCAUACAUAGGCAGAGGUCCUGGGUUCAAUCCCCGGCUGGUCCA
rfam:Serpula lacrymans var. lacrymans S7.3 unplaced genomic scaffold SERLA73scaffold_18, whole genome shotgun sequence.